AAACUUACCUGGCAGGGGAGAUACUAUGAUCACGAAGUGGUUUUCCCAGGGCCAGGUUUAUCCAUUGCACUCCGGAUGUGCUGACCCCUGCGACUUCCCCAAAUGUGGGAAACUCGACAGUGUAAUUUGUGAUAGUGGGGGACUGCGUUCGUGCCUUCCCUGU